rnacentral:tRNA from 1 species
GCCGAACACGGGGACCGGCUCGCCCUCGCGGUCGACGGCGGCGAAGACGGAGUCGGGGUCGGCGCCGUCCUGGUUCCACUCCGGGUCCACCC